UGAGAUCAGAGAGUGUUUUCAGUGGAUAGAUGCUUGUUCACAGUGCAGGAGGUUUUUGUACGGCCACUUCAUGAGUUUGUAUCACUGUGGUGGACUUUUGGUGGAGGAACCAAACUCAUCGUUGACUGUAAGUACCAGAGAUUUUAAUUUCAUACAACAUAUUGAAAAUAUAACUAUUGUCAAAUAUUGAAGACUCUGGUGAAGUUCAGUGUUUGUAUGUUGCUGAUUAUUUGUGUUAUUUUAGCAAAUAAGGCUGAUCUUACCAUCUGAGAGUAAACCUCACAGAAACCAACAUUUAUUUAACAUUAAAAAUUUACAGGAACAAAAAAGAAAUUGUUUAACUGAAAUCAAUUUAAUUUAUUCAUUUCAUUAAUUAACAUUCAAACUGUUUUUAAAAUGUGAUUCCUGUUAAACACGAACAUGAUCUUGUCAUUAAAUGCAGCUUAUCUUUGUGUUCACGGUUCAUUCAUUUUACAUGUAGUGAAAAGGAAGUGAAAGAGACAGAUGACAAAGGUUUUAACUGUAUUCACAUGAGUGUUUCAGCUCUGUCAGUUUAAACAGAAGAAAAUCAUCACGGGGAUGAGUUAUUCACUGUCACACAUUAUGAAACACAGAUGAAGAUGUCAUCAAUAGUCAUCAUCAAUUAACCUUUUUAGUUGCAUUUACACUUGAAUCAUGUGUCUGAUGGUCUGAUGCUGAGUGAUUUAUGAGAGAAACAGCAGCACAAGUUAUUCUGUUUUAUUGGAUCAAAUAUAGAAAAUUACUAGUAUGAAGUUUGUAUUUGUUACCAAGCCUUCGCUCUCAUUACUUUCUCUUUUCUCCCCCUCUCCUCCCCACUCCUCUCCUCCAGUGGGUGUGGUGCGUCCCACCCUGACCGUCCUCCCCCCCUCCAGAAAGGAGCUGCAGAAGCACAGUGCCACACUGGUGUGUCUGGCCAGCGGGGGCUUCCCCUCAACCUGGAGUCUGGGCUGGAAGGUGGGGGGCAGCAGCAGCUCCUCAGGGGUGUCACACAGCCUGGAGGUCCUGGGGAGGGACGGCCACUACAGCUGGAGCAGCACCCUGAGCCUCUCUGCAGACCAGUGGAGGAAGGCGGGCUCAGUGAGCUGUGAGGCCAGUCUGAGUGGACAGAGCCCUGUCACUCAAACCCUGGACCCAGACCCCUGCUCAGAGUAGAGCUUCAGCAACACUUCCUGUCUGGAAAUGAUGCUGCUUCUUUGAUAAAGAUCUUGAUGAAGCUGCAGAUCUCCUCUGUUCACAUAUUUCUGCAAACUCAUGACUCUGCUUUCCUUUGUAGCUUUCUGUUACUCGUAUUCUGCUUAAAAGCUGUUAUUUUUAAAAUGUCAAAUAAUAACUGAAUCAUUGGAAAAUAAAAGUGUAGAUUUUAAUAAAUAA